UACGUAGGUGGCAAGCGUUAUCCGGAUUUAUUGGGUUUAAAGGGUGCGUAGGCGGGCUUUUAAGUCAGCGGUAAAAAUUCGGGGCUCAACCCCGUCCGGCCGUUGAAACUGGGGGUCUUGAGUGGGCGAGAAGAAGGCGGGAUGCGUGGUGUAGCGGUGAAAUGCAUAGAUAUCACGCAGAACCCCGAUUGCGAAGGCAGCCUUCCGGCGCCCUACUGACGCUGAGGCACGAAAGUGCGGGGAUCGAACAGG
rnacentral:rRNA from 1 species